GAUGAACGCUGGCGGCGUGCCUAAUACAUGCAAGUCGAGCGAACGGACGAGAAGCUUGCUUUUCUGAUGUUAGCGGCGGACGGGUGAGUAACACGUGGAUAACCUACCUAUAAGACUGGGAUAACUUCGGGAAACCGGAGCUAAUACCGGAUAAUAUUUUGAACCGCAUGGUUCAAAAGUGAAAGACGGUCUUGCUGUCACUUAUAGAUGGAUCCGCGCUGCAUUAGCUAGUUGGUAAGGUAACGGCUUACCAAGGAAACGAUGCAUAGCCGACCUGAGAGGGUGACCGGCCACACUGGAACUAAGACACGCGCCAGACUCCUACGGGAGGCAGAAGUAGGGAAGCUUCCGCAAUGGGCGAAGGCCUGACGGAGCAACGCCGCGUGAGUGAUGAAGGUCUUCGAAUCGUAAAACUCUAUUAUUAGGGAAGAACAUAUGUGUAAGUACCUGUGCACAUCUUGGCGGUUCCUUAUCAGAAAGCCUGGGCUAACUACGUG
rnacentral:rRNA from 1 species